rnacentral:rRNA from 1 species
GGGAUAACAGUUAGAAAUGACUGCUAAUACCGCAUAAGCGCACAGGACCGCAUGGUCCGGUGUGAAAAACUCCGGUGGUAUGAGAUGGACCCGCGUCUGAUUAGCUGGUUGGCGGGGUAACGGCCCACCAAGGCGACGAUCAGUAGCCGACCUGAGAGGGUGGCCGGCCACAUUGGGACUGAGACACGGCCCAAACUCCUACGGGAGGCAGCAGUGGGGAAUAUUGCACAAUGGGGGAAACCCUGAUGCAGCAACGCCGCGUGAGUGAAGAAGUAUUUCGGUAUGUAAAGCUCUAUCAGCAGGGAAGAAAAAAGACGGUACCUGACUAAGAAGCCCCGGCUAACUACGUGCCAGCAGCCGCGGUAAUACGUAGGGGGCAAGCGUUAUCCGGAUUUACUGGGUGUAAAGGGAGCGUAGACGGCAUAGCAAGUCUGAAGUGAAAGCCCGUGGCUCAACCGCGGAACUGCUUUGGAAACUGUUAAGCUGGAGUACUGGAGAGGCAAGCGGAAUUCCUAGUGUAGCGGUGAAAUGCGUAGAUAUUAGGAGGAACACCAGUGGCGAAGGCGGCUUGCUGGACAGAGACUGACGUUGAGGCUCGAAAGCGUGGGGAGCAAACAGGAUUAGAUACCCUGGUAGUCCACGCGGUAAACGAUGAAUGAAAGGUGUUGGCGGGCAAAGCCCGUCGGUGCCGCCG